CCCUUAGAUGUUCUGGGCUGCACGUGCGCUACACUGAUGCGAUCAACAAGUUUUUCCUAUGUCGAUAGACACGGGUAAUCUUUUGAACUCGCAUCGUGAUGGGGAUAGAUUAUUGUAAUUAUUAAUCUUCAACGAGGAAUUCCUAGUAGGUGCAAAUCAUCAGUUUGCAUCGAUUACGUCCCUGCCCUUUGUACACACCGCCCGUCGCUGCUACCGAUUGGUUGAUCUGGUGAAUUAUUCGGACUGCCGGCUGAAGGGGUUUCCUCAUCUGCCAGCGGAAAGUCUUGUUAACCCUAUCAACUAGAGGAAGCAGAAGUCGUAACA
rnacentral:rRNA from 1 species